rnacentral:rRNA from 1 species
GAUGAACGCUAGCGGCAGGCUUAAUACAUGCAAGUCGUGGGGCAGCAGGUUUGUAGCAAUACAGAUGCUGGCGACCGGCAAACGGGUGCGGGACACGUACAGAACCUUCCUUUGAGCGGGGAAUAGCCCAGAGAAAUUUGGAUUAAUACCCCAUAGUAUAAUGAAGUGGCAUCACUUUAUUAUUAAAGAUUUAUCACUCGAAGAUGGCUGUGCGGCUGAUUAGGUAGUUGGCGGGGUAAAGGCCCACCAAGCCUGCGAUCAGUAACUGGUGUGAGAGCACGACCAGUCACACGGGCACUGAGACACGGGCCCGACUCCUACGGGAGGCAGCAGUAAGGAAUAUUGGUCAAUGGAGGCAACUCUGAACCAGCCAUGCCGCGUGGAGGAUGAAGGUCCUCUGGAUUGUAAACUUCUUUUAUAUGGGACGAAAAAGGCUUUUCUAAGUCGUCUGACGGUACCAUAUGAAUAAGCACCGGCUAACUCCGUGCC